rnacentral:rRNA from 1 species
AUUGGACGCUGGCGGCAUGCUUUACACAUGCAAGUCGAACGGUAACAGGCCUUCGGGUGCUAACGAGUGGCGAACGGGUGAGUAAUGCAUCGGAACGUGCCCAAUCGUGGGGGAUAACGUAGCGAAAGUUACGCUAAUACCGCAUAAGCCCUGAGGGGGAAAGUGGGGGACCGCAAGGCCUCACGCGAAUGGAGCGGCCGAUGUCAGAUUAGCUAGUUGGUGGGGUAAAGGCCCACCAAGGGCGACGAUCUGUAGCGGGUCUGAGAGGAUGAUCCGCCACACUGGGACUGAGACACGGCCCAGACUCCUACGGGAGGCAGCAGUGGGGAAUUUUGGACAAUGGGCGCAAGCCUGAUCCAGCCAUGCCGCGUGCGGGACGAAGGCCUCGGUUGUAA